UCUCAAACUGUGCUUAAAAGAAUGUAUAACAUAUGUUUUUUAGUUUCAGACAUUAUUGAGAAGCUGGAAAAAAGAAACAAAGCUUCUCUGAUGUAACUUUUAAUGCACAACAACAAAGUAAAACAUAAAGAGAAGAUAUUGAAGAGAGAAAACCAUCUUCUUCAUCAUUACCUCUCAGAUAGGUCCAAGAUUGCCUUCGCUACGAGUUCUACGCAUAGACAACUCUGAUCUCAGAGUAGCCAACCUAUCACCACUCGCAACGCAAUAGUUCUCGUAAGCAGCUGGUGAUACUUUGUGUCCCACAGGUGGAAGACGGCUGCUGCUUCUCUCCUUUGAUGAUCUUUUCUGCACACCCGAAGAAGCUUUACGAGCUGCGGAUGACGAUCCGGCUUUGGCUGUGAGUUUUCUAAUACAUUUCUUCCAUGUUUAGGAAUGAACAAUUGGAGCGUGAAUAGGUGGGAUUGUACACACAAAUGCAUUACAAUCAAGAGAUUUUAAACCUUGAUUAUGAUUCUAUACUAUAUUAGUAAUAAAUUUAAUCCAUAACCAAAAAUUAGUUCAAAGAUGAAGGAUUGUACUUAUAUAUCAUCCACAAUUUUUAGAAAAGUUUUGAUGUUGGACUAAUAAAAAUUUUAAAGACAGAAGAUAAACUAAUAAUCUUGAAUUUAGCAACCCCUCCUCCAUUAGUCAAUUUCACAUUUAACUAUCAGUUACUUGUAAUCUCCGUUAUCAACUUGUUAUUUUUACUAUAGGCUCCAAGCUUUGGAUUCCACGGGGAAUUACAAAGCUCAUCGUUUUCAAUUAUUCAAACGACAAUAAACAAAUCAUGUGUCUUGCUUGUACAUUUGGUAACUACAUAUAUAGAAUAUGGCAAACACAUAUUUCAUUAAGGUUUCUUAAUUAAGAUUCUUUUGUAAAAUGCAUGCGUUGAUCAUGAUGAAACCUUGUGGCUAUUAGAUGACCGGUCAAUGCACAUAUACCUCUUUAUACAUAGAGGUUUCCAAUGGUAAUCGACUUAUUAUUGACACGUCUUACUUAAAAUUUGUUAAAAGCAGACAUUAAUGGGAUAAUAUACAUUAACUAGUCAUGCAACUAGAAAUGUUGGUAUAUAGUAUGUAGUCCUCGAAAGCUUUAGUCGAAAACGUGAAAGUGUUUUGAUGUUAUGGAGGAGGAAGAGAGAGUAGGAUCAAGCAAGAGAGAUUUAAGACCACUGAAGCAGAUAAGGCACGCGCCAGCCUCUGAUUCCACAUAGCCACAGAUUUUGGAUUUCCCGAUGACGUAAGCAUAAAAUGGGCUUUUAACGGGCCAAAACAAAACUAAAUUGGUUGGUUAUUAGCUGUUAGGCCCAUGUUAUUAAUGAUACUAGUUAGAAGCCAUAUUCUCUAAUGGUUAUUUGUCAGAAACCAUUAGCAGUCAGCAGAUCACCUGGUUUCAGUUAGAUUAAAGAUUGGUUUUCAUGCACAAUUAUUAAAGAUUUUCAGUAAGUUUGCAUGCACAGUAUUAAAGAUUUCCAGUAAGUUUGUUUUAAUCAUUUCCACAAAGUAAUAUUUUUAAUAAUAACCUCCAAACCUAAUGUAAAACCAUUAGUAGAGAUCACUGGUAUAUGCAUGUUUUUUCACGAUAUUUCCCAUUAUUAAGAGAUGAGUGGCUAAACAAAUGGACUUUAUAGUGGGCAGAUUAAUCUGUUUCAGCCCAUAUAGUUAAAAAUGUAUUUUGAUUAAACACAAGAGGAGAAAGAAAAUUACUAAGUAAAGAGGCACCGAGAGUUGAUCAAAAAAAAAAAAAAAGAGGCACCGAGAGUCAAAGAAACAAGUUUAGGUGACAUGAUGAAAUGUGCAUGGCGUGAGACUCUGAGAGACAUGCACUCAUCACGUGCUUGCAUGUGUGUCUCUUUGCUUUCUAUAUCUCUCUUUUUUUUUUGCUUAGUUUUUUUGAAAAUUAUUAUUUUUGCUUAGUAAUGUUAAAUAGAUAAUCCCCAAUUCAUAAUUGUCUUUCUUAAUUGGCUAAUCAGUUUCACAUUAUUAAUUAGGCACGUAAAUAUGGAAAUGACCCAUAUCCGUUGCCAUUUUUGCCUUGAAUCUUUCACCACUUAGAUUUAACAAUAAUCCAAAGUUAUAUUCUUAAUUUUAAUCAGAUUAAAAAACCCUAAACUAAAUAAAUAAAACAUUCUUAAGCCUUUUGACUAUUAUAUUUUUAUCGUUUUUAAUUAUUUUUGUAUUAAAGUAUCGUUUUAGGUCGAAUGUUUGGCCUUUAAUUUUGUAAGAAGGGUAGAAAAUGGUUAUUUGCCUUAUUGUUUAUAUAGGAGUCACGAUUCGGCGUGAUUAGUGUUUUCAUUUGAUUGAGAUAUAUUAUAUAAAAUAAAAAAUAAUCAAAAUAUGAACUUGUAAAUUACAACUACUUUCUAAACCAACUAAAAUGAUUUUGAUCAUUCUUUCUAUUGUCUUAUAGUGACUUUUUCGGUCGGCUCUAUUUUGGUAAUGGUUAGAAAAGCAGAACAUGCGAAUGUUCUUUUUAAAUGGAUAUAUUCACGAAAAAGAAUACAUUAAUGUUACAGAAACAUAAAACCUUAGAAGAAAUUAUAAUAAUUCAAUUGAUUUGUGGGAGUGCUUUUAGGCUUUCCCUUUAUCCAAUGCAUCAUAUCUUUCCUGUCCUCUUUCCAACAAUGCAUCAUAUCUUAAACCUUGAAAAUUCGUUAGGUAAAAGUAAAACUGUAUCAACCUUUUCUGGUGCAUAUAAUUCCAGUAAAUAAAUGCAUUUGCUCCAUAUUUAUAGAAUGGCAUUAAGUCUUUUUGUUGCAUUUAUUAAAAGAUAACACAUAAAUUUUCAAAGUAUACAUAGUCAUUUGGACCCGAGAUGCAGCUAAUCACACAUUCACACUUGCAAACAAUUUGAAAAUUUACAUUAUCUUUUAUUGCUUAGUGUAUUUGCAAACAAUUUUCAUAGGAUACUAUACAUUAAGCAUAUAAUAUUAUGACGAAAAUGAUAGUUUAGUUAUAAAUAUAUGAAAAUACAAAUAUAAUUUAAAGAUGGCGCGAUGGCGAAGCAAGGCACCCCAAGGCAAAUAAGUGAGCUCAUAAAGUCACUGACGCUUCGUCUAAUAUUCGUCUGCUCCCUUUUCUAUCCUUUUCAUUUUAUUUAGUGAGUUAUUUACAAGAAAAGGCACCUCCUAUGCUUUAUACGAGAUUGCAAUUCUUGAAUCAUACGAGAUUUAGAUAUAACCAAAGUAGUUAAUAUUAGUAAUAUAUCUUAACUCACGCCCAUACACUACUGUAAAAAACGGAAAAUUAUCAUAUAUAUAAUAUAUUGUUUAUAUUUCUCUGUUUUGCUGUGAGAUUUCUAAUACAUUUCUUCCAUGUUUAGGAUUGAACAAUUGGAGCGUGAAUAGGUGGGAUUGUACACACAAAUGCAUUACAAUCAAGAGAUUUAAACCUUGAUUAUGAUUCUAUAUAUACUAUAUUAGUAAUAAAUUUAAUUCAUAACCAAAAAUUAGUUCAAAGAUGAAGGAUUGUACAUAUAUAUAUAUCAUCCACAAUUUUUAGAAAAGUUUUGAGGUUGGACUAAUAAAAAUUCUAAAGACAGAAGAUAAACUAAUAAUCUUGAAUUUAGCAACCCCUCCUCCAUUAGUCAAUUUCACAUUUAACUAUCAGUUACUUGUAAUCUCCGUUAUCAACUUGUUAUUUUUACUAUAUGCAUGUCCAAGCUUUGGAUUCCACGGGAAAUUACAAAGCUCAUCGGUUUCAAUUAUUCAUACGACAAUAAACAAAUCAUGUGUCUUGCUUGUACAUUUGGUAACUACAUAUAUAGAAUAUGGCAAACACAUAUUUCAUUAAGGUUUCUUAAUUAAGAUUCUUUCGUAAAAUGCAUGCGUUGAUCAUGAUGAAACCUUGUGGCUAUUAGAUGACCGGUCAAUGCACAUAUACCUCUUUAUACAUAGAGGUUUCCAAUGGUAAUCGACUUAUUAUUGACACGUCUUACUUAAAAUUUGUUAAAAGCAGACAUUAAUGGGAUAAUAUACAUUAACUAGUCAUGCAACUAGAAAUGUUGGUAUAUAGUGUCAUGAUUUGGUCGUGGAUCUCUCACUCUGCAGUUGCAGAAAUAAGCAACAGGUUCUUUGAUUUAUAAUUGGUUGUUUAUUUUUGUAAUUCUCUGGAAUGUCAAUAUAUAAUAUAUACAUAUCUGGGGUGGGAGUUUUUUUUAGUGAUUAGAGAUUAAUAUAUAUAUAUAUAUAAAACAUUUUCUGUUGGGAACCUGAAUCUCUCCGGACCAAACUAAUCACAAAAUAUUCAAGCACCUUGAUAAUAAUGAAGUAGUAAAAGACUGAAGUGCAUCUGCUGAUCUACUAUAUUAUAAAUUACUGAGAAUUAUACAGAUUAUCUAAUAGAGAGUUAAAAAAGUAACAAUAAGGAUAUGCUUUGCAUCAUUGUUAGUGUAUGGACUAUUGAGGAAAGUAAGAAAGAAAAAAGCAAAGCAAAGCAAAGAAGUACCCUUUAGUCUUCAAACAAAGUAGGUGGAUGGCCCUUGAGAAUUUGGGUGUUAUUCACUAAUCAACAUACUUUGAAUAAUUUUUUGUUUCAUAUAACUUUGAAUCUUCAUUAAUUUGAUUUUUUUUGUAAACAUUAAUUUGAAUUUAAUCGCUUCUUCUUAUGCAAUUAUCUUCCUCAAACAGGUAUGAUUAAUAUCUCUCUUCUUUGUUAGUCAUAUUAGGUUAGCACUGUCACUUUCUGUUGCUUAUUAGCUAAUACGCCAAAACUAAAACGCUUGUUUCCUUACGUUACAUGCAUAACUUUUAUUUUCUUUACAUCUUAUUUAAGUUAGGUACUAUUACUAACGGUCAGUCAAAUGCCUUUUUCAUUUCGUUCACAUCUUGAAUUUCAGAGGGCUUGAUAUUUCACAUUGUGUAGCAUAUAUAAUAAUAGACUGUUUUUAAUGUUUUUUCUUUUUGUAGUUAUCGUCAAAAAAAAAAGACAGACAGGCUUUGGCAGUAAAAGAUAAAAGUAAAAAAAAAGAGGGUUGUUCAAAUGGCAUAUUCACAUGGCAGUUUGUUCAUUGACUUAUCAAUUUUCUUUACUGACUUAAAAACACAAUUAAUUUGAAUACCUAUAAUAUUGGGAAAUUCAAAACCUAACAAAAGGUGAGUACAAAGACUUAAGGACAAGGAAACCAAGCUGUCACAAUCUAAUUAACAAAUGUAUGAUAAAAUAAGAAAACAAGACUAAGAUUUCCAAAAGUUAAUUAAUGUUUGUAACUGUUAGGACGAGAUUCCAAAGUGACGAAUCUUUUGAUUGGAUUUUAUAAAUACAACAAUACUUUAAUACAGAACUUCAUUAAUUACUGCGCGCGUGAGUUGGUUAAAAAUAUGGUUUGAUGAUGAAUGAUAGCAACAAACCAAGAAAAGAUAUGUGCUAAAGAUGUAGAAAAACAAAAAAUGUUAUGCAUGAUCUAAACUUGAUGAAGAAUCUCUUUAUGUAGUAAUAAAGACUUGAUUUACCUAUAUUAGAAUCUUAACUAGGAACAGAUGAAUUUAAGAUUUUAACUUGAUGAAGAAUAUUUGUAUGUAGUAAUAAAAACUUGAUUUACCUAUAUUAGAAUCUUAACUAUUAACUAUUAACGAGAAAAAACGAAUAAUUACUUUAAAAAAAUCGAACAAUUACAAGCGAUGAUCAUAUGUUAAUAACUCAAAAAUGAUAGAUUAAGUAAGAAAAAAAGAGUAAUAGCAGUAUCCCUCAAAAGACCAAAACACCAUCUCUCUCUCACAAUAAAGACAGCUUCUCUCUUUUAAUGUCUCCCUCCUCUCUAUCUCUCUCUUCUUCUUGAGCAGAGACUCUCACUAGUCACUACUCUCUCUCAGUCAAUCAAUGGAGUUUCAUCUCGAACACCCUCUCUCACAUUCUCCUUCUAUCCACAACAACAACGAUGUUGCUUUACCACCAAACUCUCUCUUCCUCGUCGAACCACAACACAUGCCUUCUCCUCAUUACUUCCACACCCUCAAAUCCUCUGCUUCUCUCCUAUCUAAUCGAAACCACGCCGUUUCUUCAAUCAUUCAGGUCUCUUUUAACAAACUUCUACUGAGUCAUUAUCUUGUAAGAAAAACUUAUACCCUUUUUGAUGGUUUACUAACUUUGCAGUAUUCAAGAAAACUCGACGACCCUUCUCUGACGUAUCUUGCGGUGAAUUAUCUAGACAGGUUCUUGUCCAGUGAAGAUAUGAUGCCGGUAAGAAAAAAACAGAACAUGUCCUAAUGUUUCAUCUGAGAUUUGACUUUGUUUUUUAAUUUAUAAUUAUUGUUUUUCUUUGACAGCAAUCAAAGCCUUGGAUUCUCAAGCUUAUCUCUCUUUCUUGUGUCUCUUUGUCUGCUAAAAUGAGAAAGCCAGAUAUAUCUAUCUGUGAUCUUCCGGUAAGUGACCUCCACUAGAAAAGACAUUGAUCAUUGUAUCUAAGGUUCCGGGGACGAAACUAAUAUUAUAUGAUGUGGUUUUGGGUUUGAGGGGAUCAUACUGUCAUGUGUAUUCAAAACCAAAAAAGAAUGUAUGUAUGUGCUUCAUACUGUCAUGUGUAUGAAGAAUUUGAAUUUUUCAGGUGGAAGGUGAGAUGUUUGAUGCUCAGAUGAUAGAGAGAAUGGAGAAUGUGAUCUUAGGAGCUCUUAAAUGGCGAAUGCGCUCUGUUACUCCUUUCUCCUUUCUCUCCUUCUUCCUUAGCCUUCUCUUCGAGCUCGAAGAAGAUCAUUCAGUACUUAAACAUUCACUCAAAGCUCAAGCUACUGAUCUCACUUUCAAUCUUCAACAUGGUAUACAACAAUUGAAUGUUUCAUAACUUCUUCAAUGAGUCUAAAUCUAAAACAUCUUUUGGAAUUUUUUUGGCAGAUAUCAAGUUCCUAGAGUUUAAACCAUCAGUGGUUGCAGCAGCUGCACUUCUCUUUGCUUCUUCUGAGAUCUGUCCUCAACAGUUUCCAUGUUUCAGUAACAGAAUAUGCCAAUGCACAUAUGUAAAUAAGGUAAAAAAAGUUGUAACCAUCUCAAACUUUGUUUUAAAAACCGCGCAAUAAAAAUUGAUAUGUUUUGGGUUAACAGGAUGAGUUAAUGGAGUGUUACAAGGCAAUGCAAGAGAGAGAUGUAGUUGAAGACAACGAAGGAAGCAAUGACACAGCAGUAAAUGUACUUGACCAGCAAUUCUCUAGCUGUGAAGAAAGUGCAAUCACAGCUUCAUCACCUAAGAGGAGGAAAAUUACUACAAGUACUAGUCGUCGAUGUUAAGCUGAAAAGGUGGUUUAAUGGUCAGACAUAAUCUCCAACCAAUGUAAUCACUUCAAAACCACUUAUGAUGGUCCCCUUUUGAAAGAGACACUUUGCUAUUCCUUCCUUCCUUCUCUGCUUCAAAUAAGCCAUUACUCUCUUCAUGGAAGAUGAGAGUGAUGAAUGAUCAAAACACCAUAUCUCAUUGCUCCUUCCUUUGGACCACAUCAUAAAGCUCAAAAAAUGAAGAAAAAAAAUCAAUCAAUGUGUGUUAUUUUUAUCUAUCAUCAUGUUCUGUAUUUACAGUUUUGGGUUUCUGCAGUUAAGUUGUUUCACUUGAAGUGGAAUAAUCAAUAAAUAUCUGUUCUUACGUAAUGUAUAUAACCUAUGGUUUAUGUUACUUACUAGAUGGACACUAAUGUGGUCACGAGAAGAAAACUAUUGAAUUUAAUUUUCAGGCAUAAGAUUUUGUCUUAUGAGACUUCGUUAUCCGAGUUAUAUGGAUCCAGUUGCCAGAAUCUCUGUUGCAGGCAGGCACGAUGAUACUCUUUGGACCACUUUACAGUUCUGAAUCAUUCAAUUGCUUUUGUUCUUACUGCAAGCCUGUAAGAAAUGACCAUCCGGUUUAACCGAAUCAAAAAUUGUACCAAAAACCGAACUGGAAACCGGAUUGGACUCAAACAAACAUUUAAGAGAAAGAGAUUGAAAGACUCUUUGCAAUCUAUAAUCUCAAACUGUGCUUAAAAGAAUGUAUAACAUAUGGUUUUUAGUUUCAGACAUUAUUGAGAAGCUGGAAGAAAAGAAACAAAGCUUCUCUGAUGUAACUUUUAAUGCACAACAACAAAGUAAAACAUAAAGAGAAGAUAGAGAAGAGAGAAACCAUCUUCUUCAUCAUUACCUCUCAGAUAGGUCCAAGAUUGCCUUCGCUACGAGUUCUACGCAUAGAGAGCUCUGAUCUCAGAGUAGCCAACCUAUCACCACUUGCAACGCAAUAGUUCUCGUAAGCAGCUGGUGAUACUUUGUGUCCCACAGGAGGAAGACGGCUGCUGCUUCUCUCCUUUGAUGAUCUUUUCUGCACCCCCGAAGAAGCUUUACGAGCUGCGGAUGAUGAUCCGGCUUUGUGUGUACUCGACGCACCGUGGCUACUCUUCCUCCCGUUGUUUUUGAGCUCUGAUCUGAG
rnacentral:lncRNA from 1 species